rnacentral:rRNA from 1 species
UACGUAGGGGGUAAGCGUUGUCCGGAUUUAUUGGGCGUAAAGAGCGUGUAGGCGGCCAGACAGGUCCGUUGUGAAAACUCGAGGCUCAACCUCGAGACGCCGAUGGAAACCGUCUGGCUAGAGUCCGGAAGAGGAGAGUGGAAUUCCUGGUGUAGCGGUGGAAUGCGCAGAUAUCAGGAAGAACACCCGUGGCGAAGGCGGCUCUCUGGAACGCAACUGACGCUGAGACGCGAAAGCGUGGGGAGCAAACAGG